UUUACCUUGUGAGGAAAAAGUGGGUUUUAAAAAAUUAAUUUUAUCACAUUAAUCAGAUGUAACUUUAGUUAAAACUGAAGCCAAAAUUCCAGCAUUUGUCAAAAUUCUAUAUAGAAGGCAGUCCCAGCUGUCUGAAUAGGAUUAUGUACACAUAAGCUGUAUGAAAUGAGCUCAUGCCUCAUGAUGUCAAGUUCUGUUUUUUGUCUGCAGUUCUUUUGUUUAUUCUCAGUUGCCAGACUUUAAAAGACUUCACUGUUUACCAUUUUAUAAUUAAGGUUUAAUUGUGUCUAUUUAAUGUGUUAUUCUGUUCUGUUCUCACAGAUGCAAACUUCGUUUUUUAAAAACAUGAUAUCUAAAAAGCAGAAUGUGCAGAGUCUUUUCUUUGCCAAGCAAAACAGUUUCCACCACAUGUGUGCUGACUUGCAGUAUGUUCCCAGCAGGAUAGGCAAUUCCUGGCCAAGAAAACAAAAAUAGAUGCCAGAAUGAUCUAAUCUAAUCUAAUUUCCCUUGGCCACAUGAACAUGAAUGAAUGACGGACUCACCAUUGAAGCUUUUCCUUAUUUUGGGUUCUGCAGAGGGCAAAUUCAAUUUGGCUUUUCUCAGUACUGGACAAAGAAAACUGAUAUUUACUAUAAAGAAAAUCCCAGCCUUCUGUGCUCUGGGCCCCCACAGCAAACACUGCCAAGGUCACGUCGACAGGCAGGCUAUAGAAAGGAACACACUCGGAGGCCCAGUAUGGUGGUGAGAAGAACCAGAAGGCACUCAAAAUUUAGGCCAGAAGGAUACGGGUAUGAGGAGAAAGAGAUAAUCCUUCCCACCUGCAUGCUUCCUCUUAGGACUUUAGGUCUGCCUACAUGUUGAAGAAGUUUGAGUUUUAGGCUUUGGGAGCAUUUCCUUAAAAACCAUUGUCAUGGGGGAGGAAAAAAAAAGGGUAGUGUUAAUUCUGUCUUCACACACUCAGAGAUCAUUUGGUUGGGCUACAUUUUAUGAGCUAUAUUCCAUAAAGAUGCUGCAAAGUUCAGGUAUCUGGUUUAGGAAAGAAAAAAAAAUCCCUUCUUUAACCCAAGAAAUGUAAUGCAAACAACUUGGGCCUGUGUCACUUAGUCUUCUAAGAAGACUUCAAGGCUGUUAUAAAGACCCAGUGGUGGGAGAAACCUGAUCCGGUAUAGCGGGGCCAGAAGAAGCUGCGGGACCAUGCCGCGGGGACAAGGCAAGGAGUUUCGCCAGGAUGUUGAUCUCCUGGUUAUCUACACUUCCGCCUCAGUAUGAUCUGAAUUAUUAAUGAGAAAGAUUAAGAUACAGAUUCCUUCCUUCAAGUGCCUUAGUAGUCACAGACAGGAGGUUAAUUAUAAGACUAAAAGCAAUCUUGGGUUGUUAGAAGAACUUAAAGGAAAACACCUUUCAACUUCUUGUUAUCAAUCAAUCAUUUUUGUCUUUAGAAAUCAAGAAUUUGAACAAUAACAGCUGCUUUCAGAAAUAAACCGCGACUUUGUGCAGCGUGUAUUACCUGACGAGCUGAAAUGCAUUGUUAAUGAGACUCGCCCGAUCAUUACUGCUGACUGCUGUGUGUGUUCCUUUUAAAAGGCCAGUCAAAGAGUCCCAUCCAUCAUCCUCGUAAUGCACAAUGUAAUAGCCAUUCAUGCCCACAUUAAAUUUGAUCCAUUCCACCUCUUCUGGGAGGAUGAGCACAUCUAGAGUAAAUAAAAUAAAUCAAAGUUC
rnacentral:lncRNA from 1 species